rnacentral:rRNA from 1 species
AACGCGAAGAACCUUACCUACCCUUGACAUGUACGGAAGCCCUCAGAGAUGGGGGUGUGCCCGAAAGGGAGCCGUAACACAGGUGCUGCAUGGCUGUCGUCAGCUCGUGUCGUGAGAUGUUGGGUUAAGUCCCGCAACGAGCGCAACCCUUGUCCCUAGUUGCUACGCAAGGGCACUCUAGGGAGACUGCCGGUGACAAACCGGAGGAAGGUGGGGAUGACGUCAAGUCCUCAUGGCCCUUAUGGGUAGGGCUUCACACGUCAUACAAUGGCCGGUACAGAGGGUUGCCAAAGCGCGAGCUGGAGCCAAUCCCAGAAAGCCGGUCGUAGUCCGGAUUGCAGUCUGCAACUCGACUGCAUGAAGUCGGAAUCGCUAGUAAUCGCGGAUCAGCAUGUCGCGGUGAAUACGUUCCCGGGCCUUGUA